rnacentral:piRNA from 1 species
UGCGGAGCCGAAGCUGGACUGUACUGC